CUUGCUCUUUGUGACUGUUAAGGUCCCCUGUCAUGCAGGUAAUGAAUAUGAUGUUCCAUGCUGUGUGUGUGUGUGUGUUUGUAGAACUCACUUCUCAUGACUUGUUUUAACUUAUCAGGGUGAAUGGUAGAACCAUGUGUUUCACUCUUCAUGGAGGACACUGAGGUGACUGCCUGAUUUUAAGAUUUAUGAGUGCUGGGCUACAGACACUGAUGCUCUGGUAAUUUGUUUUAUAUUUAUGAUCUUAGUUGUUUGUUUACAUUGGUAGUUAUAAAUCAAUUAACUAUGUUUCUUUAAAUCUGUAGCACUGGAAUGUUCCUUUCUUCCUGUGUCACUGUGCUGUGGGGAGUAGUGAACGUUCUUGCAAAGGACUGAGUACUGCUCCUUUCGGGUUGGGUGCCACAUGGAGGGAGCCAUUUUCUCGGUGUGUACUGGUAAACAACACGGUGUGGUAUGUUGUAGUGGUAUCCUGUAGUGGUAUUUGCUUCUUGUGUUUGCAGUGCUUGCCGUGUUGCAUUCUUUUGUGGUGCUGUGUUUGCUGUCUCUCUCUCUCUCCCUCUCUCACCAGGGCCCCUCUCCAAGACGGGAGCAGUGUGUGCUGACCCAACCUUAUUAGCCUGAGGAGUCUCAGCCAGUUAUCCCAUGCAGUCUUUCUUACUUACACACAACUUACAUUCUGGAUUGUAUUUAUACUAUUUGUAAUAAAUUUGAGUAUUUUGUAUA